UACGUAGGGGGCAAGCGUUGUCCGGAUUUAUUGGGCGUAAAGAGCGUGUAGGCGGCUUGGUAGGUCCGCUGUGAAAACUCGAGGCUCAACCUCGAGAUGUCGGCGGAAACCACUUGGCUAGAGUCCGGAAGAGGAGAGUGGAAUUCCCGGUGUAGCGGUGAAAUGCGCAGAUAUCGGGAAGAACACCCGUGGCGAAGGCUGCUCUCUGGGACGGUACUGACGCUGAGACGCGAAAGCGUGGGGAGCGAACAGG
rnacentral:rRNA from 1 species